rnacentral:rRNA from 1 species
AUUGAACGCUGGCGGCAGGCCUAACACAUGCAAGUCGAGCGGUAGCACAGGGAGCUUGCUCCUGGGUGACGAGCGGCGGACGGGUGAGUAAUGUCUGGGAAACUGCCUGAUGGAGGGGGAUAACUACUGGAAACGGUAGCUAAUACCGCAUAACGUCGCAAGACCAAAGAGGGGGACCUUCGGGCCUCUUGCCAUCAGAUGUUCCCAGAUGGGAUUAGCUAGUAGGUGGGGUAACGGCUCACCUAGGCGACGAUCCCUAGCUGGUCUGAGAGGAUGACCAGCCACACUGGAACUGAGACACGGUCCAGACUCCUACGGGAGGCAGCAGUGGGGAAUAUUGCACAAUGGGCGCAAGCCUGAUGCAGCCAUGCCGCGUGUAUGAAGAAGGCCUUCGGGUUGUAAAGUACUUUCAGCGGGGAGGAAGGCGAUAAGGUUAAUAACCUUGUCGAUUGACGUUACCCGCAGAAGAAGCACCGGCUAACUCCGUGCCAGCAGCCGCGGUAA